AUACAUGCACAAAUACACAAACAUACAGACACACAACCAUACAAGCACACAGACAUAAUUUUUCAGGCACACAGUCACAAAGAUAUACAGACACACAGUCAUAAAAGGCACACAAACAAACACAGUCAUACAAUCUACACAUACAGGUACAUUGUCGUACAAACACAGACAUACAUUCAUAGAGACACAGGCAUUCACAGAAAUACAUACACAGACAUAAAGAAACAGAGAUAGGCAUACAGAGACAUACAUACACAGACAAACAAAGAACCCUGCACACUGACACCGUGUAAAUGCUCCGGCCAUCAACAGAGGUGGAUGCUCCAUGUCAGGCAGACAUUGCUGGAUCCACCAGUAAAGUCUUCAAAGGGAAUAAACACAGGCAACACUCCAAUAGUAAGGAUGG